rnacentral:tRNA from 1 species
CAUUAAAUGGCUGAAAGUAAGCUUUGGUCUCUUAAACCAACAAUAAUAUAUUAACUCAUAUUUUUAAUG